rnacentral:tRNA from 1 species
GGCCUUGUGGCGCAAUGGUUAGCGCAUUGGACUUCUAAUUCAAAGGUUGAGGGUUCGAGUCCCUUCAAGGUCA